rnacentral:siRNA from 1 species
CGACAUCCCUCCGAGGCGCGUG